AACGAACGCUGGCGGCAUGCCUAACACAUGCAAGUCGAACGAUACCUUCCGGUCUAUUGUCGCUCGGGUGCUUAACGCCUGGUGACUUACCUUUAGGUUCGGAACAACCUACUGUAGUUUAAGCUAAUACCGGGUGAGGUCUUCGUACCUAAGAUGUAUGCCCUGUAGAUGGGCCGGCGUUGGAUUAGCUUGUUGGUGGGGUAAGGGCCUAACAAGGCGACGUUCCAUAGCUGGUCUGAGAGGAUGAGCAGUCACACUGGGACUGAGACACGGCCCAGACGCGUACGGGAGGCAGCAGUGGGGAAUAUUGGAAAGUGGGCGAAAGGCUGAUCGAGCAAUGCCGCGUGAGUGAUGAAGGCCUUAGGGUUGUAAAGAUCUUUUACCAGAGAUGAUAAUGACAGUAGCGGGAGAAGAAGCUCCGGCUAACUACGUG
rnacentral:rRNA from 1 species